rnacentral:rRNA from 1 species
UACGUAGGGUGCGAGCGUUGUCCGGAAUUAUUGGGCGUAAAGAGCUCGUAGGCGGUUUGUUGCGUCGGCCGUGAAAACCUGCAGCUUAACUGUGGGCCUGCGGCCGAUACGGGCAGACUUGAGUUCGGUAGGCGAGACUGGAAUUCCUGGUGUAGCGGUGAAAUGCGCAGAUAUCAGGAGGAACACCGGUGGCGAAGGCGGGUCUCUGGGCAACUACUGACGCUGAGGAGCGAAAGCGUGGGGAGCGAACAGG